AAAGUUAUUUCUACCAUUCCAGCAUAAACAAGGGAUGACAAAGUACAUAUGUUCUAUACAACACUAGGUUUUCAAGCCUUGCAGAUUUUUUCUUCUUCAGCACAUUAAACAUGGCUGACAUGUUUUCAUCGGCACAUGAUAAAUCAUCUAGCUGCACUUGAAGAAAAAAGAAAUCAACGGCUUAGUUGAAGCAAGAUGCAAACUGAAAUCAAUAGGCAGUACACAUAAUAUUGUGUGUUAAAACGGCUUUUGGUCAAAACAGUGUAGGUAGCACAUGCUUGAGCAUUUUUAAUCUGUAACUUUACAUUCAGGAACUGCAUUUUCAGGACAACUGGAACUGAAGUUUUCAUGUGCCCUAUACUGAUGAGUAUAUUGGUCAAAUCUGUUCUUUUUGUGAAUUCAUAAUGUGAAUGAAAUUAAAACGGUGCGAUAUAAUAAUGGAAUGUGCUUACAUAAGUUAUUACUACUGAAUUGUGUCACUUAGCUAGUAUGUAUUUAUGUGAUCACUAAUUAAUAGAUGAAAUAGAAUGUAGUAUGUGAAGCACUACGGUCACAACUGUGGUGCUGCUGGCGAGGAAACGGCUGCAGACCGCAGCUUUGAUGGGCUUUAUCAGCGUGCGGCAAAAUUAGGGUCACAUGAAAAGGGUUUAGCUGUUCAAGCGCCAAGGCAUUCCGUGGGAUAUGCAGGCCUCCGUCUAGCUGGCCGCAGCAGCGCCGCCGCCAACGAACGUUCGACAAAAACUAUUCCCUAUUUUUCUAGGUUUUUUUUAAUUAGUUGGUUUUCUAGAAAAACUAUUUGGUGCAUGUAUAUAUGGCUAUACAUCUACAUGGCUAUUGGAUCUAACUGGGGUCAUGUAUCGUGAAUCGAUAGUAAUUAUACAAAAGUAAUUACAAAUACCUUAAGAUGCGUCUUUGCUGUAGAGUUGAGAGCAGGACUGUCAUCUUCACCCGUAUUAACCGUAGAAAAUUACUGCGAUUGACGCCUCUAUGCAGAUGGUGGUGAUGGACCGGUCAAGGGAUCCAUGAUGGUGAAUGAAGAUGCAAAAUAUUGUGAGAAGAAGAGAGGAGAAAAUAAGAACGGAUGUGCACCGAAGACAGGAGAAAGAAUGCCUUUUGUGUCGUUGCUCGGUUGCCUUUCUGUUUUUUUUCUGUUGCUGCAGAUUUAGUAAUAGAUAAAGCU
rnacentral:lncRNA from 1 species